AAAAACAAUUAUGGUGAAUACCAUUAUUUAUGUUGUGAACUGGAGUUACACAAAGACCAUUUUAAUUUUUACUUCUGGAUGUCGCAGGAAAGUUUUAAAGAACUGUAAUUUGCGUAAUUUUGUACAAUGUUACAUUCUAGCGCCGGAUUAAUCACGCUGUCGAGCCAUGUUUGAGAGCUGCUAUAAUUUGUAAUUGAAUACAACGGGACGUUAAUACCACUUUCAUAGUGCAGAAAGUAAAUCAACUUUAACAGACCAUGUAACACUACCCAUCUAAUUAAUCUCUUGCACUUACAUAAAACUCAAAAUUAAAGUUGCUUGAAAACUUAUAAUGAAAAUCUAUUAAUGAGAACAUGGUACACAAGUUGAUGCUUUUAUAAGAUCAUUAAAAAACUAUAAAACAAAAUAUAUGAUGCAUAACUUUUUACCACUAAGUACUACUUAUGAUGAACUUACUAAAUUUUGAGACAUUUUGGCUGGCAAAAAAUGUUAUCCAAAUAAAACCAAAUAAAAACUCAUUUAUAUAAAUAUUUUAUAUAAAUAGCUAGAAAUCAAGAGAACUUUUUGACCGUGCCUAGAAAAGACCAAUAGAAGUAUUCAGUAAAAAUUCAGUUUUU